CACUCCUACGGGAGGCAGCAGUGGGGAAUUUUGGACAAUGGGCGAAAGCCUGAUCCAGCAAUGCCGCGUGUGUGAAGAAGGCCUUCGGGUUGUAAAGCACUUUUGUCCGGAAAGAAAUCCUUGGCUCUAAUACAGUCGGGGGAUGACGGUACCGGAAGAAUAAGCACCGGCUAACUACGUGCCAGCAGCCGCGGUAAUACGUAGGGUGCGAGCGUUAAUCGGAAUUACUGGGCGUAAAGCGUGCGCAGGCGGUUUGCUAAGACCGAUGUGAAAUCCCCGGGCUCAACCUGGGAACUGCAUUGGUGACUGGCAGGCUAGAGUAUGGCAGAGGGGGGUAGAAUUCCACGUGUAGCAGUGAAAUGCGUAGAGAUGUGGAGGAAUACCGAUGGCGAAGGCAGCCCCCUGGGCCAAUACUGACGCUCAUGCACGAAAGCGUGGGGAGCAAACAGGAUUAGAAACCCGAGUAGUCC
rnacentral:rRNA from 1 species